rnacentral:rRNA from 1 species
AACGAACGCUGGCGGCGUGCCUAACACAUGCAAGUCGAACGGAAUGAGGGGGCUUGCUCCUUCAUUUAGUGGCGCACGGGUGAGUAACGCGUAGAUAAUCUGCCUGAUGAUCUGGGAUAACAUCUCGAAAGGGGUGCUAAUACCGGAUAAGCCCACGGGGACUUUGGUCUUUGCGGGAAAAGGGGGGGACCUUUUGGCCUUCUGUCAUCAGAUGAGUCUGCGUACCAUUAGCUAGUUGGUAGGGUAAAGGCCUACCAAGGCUACGAUGGUUAGCUGGUUUGAGAGAAUGAUCAGCCACACUGGAACUGAAACACGGUCCAGCCUCCUACGGGAGGCAGCAGUGAGGAAUUUUGCGCAAUGGGCGAAAGCCUGACGCAGCAACGCCGCGUGAGUGAUGAAGGCUUUCGGGUCGUAAAGCUCUGUCGGGGGGAAGGAAGUGUAUUGUGGCUAAUAUCCACGAUACUUGACGGUACCCCCAAAGGAAGCACCGGCUAACUCCGUGCCAGCCGCCGCAGUAACAC